rnacentral:rRNA from 1 species
UACGUAGGGUGCGAGCGUUAAUCGGAAUUACUGGGCGUAAAGCGUGCGCAGGCGGUGAUGUAAGACAGUUGUGAAAUCCCCGGGCUCAACCUGGGAACUGCAUUUGUGACUGCAUCGCUGGAGUGCGGCAGAGGGGGAUGGAAUUCCGCGUGUAGCAGUGAAAUGCGUAGAUAUGCGGAGGAACACCGAUGGCGAAGGCAAUCCCCUGGGCCUGCACUGACGCUCAUGCACGAAAGCGUGGGGAGCAAACAGG